ensembl:lncRNA
UAAGUUUUUAAGUAGGCUAAGUUAUGUCCUAAAUAGUGUCCCUUUUUCAAAUAUAUAAGAUGUACACAAUUGUAUCAUCCUUUGGGAACAAUCAACCAGUGAAGUUCCCUGACAGUGAGCAGUCUAUGCGACAUUACAUCACUAAAAUGGGGACUCAAAGGAGGACUACUGGACGUAGAGAGGCAUUUGGGAUAGACCCCAUAUUUGCAUUGGCCAGACAUGACAUCAUAACGACUGAUGGCGGUUUAGAAGAGGACAGAUGAUUAUCCGCUGACCCCUGUGGACAGUCGUUUGACUCUUAAUGGAGAUCUCCCUGCUGAACGAUCCUGCAUUGCUGGUCACAACAUAAGAUUUGUUUUGCACACUAGGACCAGUAUGGGAUGCUGGAUGUUGGUUUGCUGGUCCCCAGCAUGGGAAGCAGGUGUUCUGGUGGACCAUACCUUCUACUAUGUAGUCCUUUUAGAAUCAGUGACCGAGAGUUGGAUUUUUUACACAUGAGUUCUCAAACUAGCAUUACAGUCUUUAAAAACAGCGAUUUUCAAUUUUGAACUUUCAUUAUGAAAACUCUUUAUUAGCAAUAGCACUUCUCAUAACCCCCUGUUAUUGAACUAACAGUUUAUGAGCAUGCUGUUAUUUGAAUUUUUUGUGUUUUCAUACCUCUGAAGAUUUUAGUUUUAGUUGUACACAAGAGCUUUUAACUGAUUUGUGCACAGAUCCUUAGAAACGGAACACAAAUCUUUUGAAACAUUUGACUAGUUUGUGUUUUUACUUUUUUGUUCAAAACUAAAGAUAACAUUGAUUAAUAAUAUAAUUAUCAUUACUAAAACAAUUACAAUUUUCAGUUCUACUGUCAACAGAGGGAGCUAAAGUGAGCUAAUAUAACUUAUUUUAAUGAGAUAAUAAACUUAUUAGCUGACGGAAUUCA